CCCUUACCGGCGGUCGGCGCCGCGCUGCGGGGGCGGCGGCGGGCGGCUCCAGUCACGCCGGGAACCAUGGAAAGGAGCCGGGACGGGAGACAGACCAGAGCGAGACUGUGAACGGCAGCAGCUCAGAGCCUCCGCUUCCCUCCGGGCUCUCCAAACCUUCCAGACGUGCUGCGGGAAGAACUCCACACCGCUGGGCACCACGGCCUCCCACAGCACCCUGCCACAGCCAGAGACUGCUGCUGGAGCCCGAGCUCAGGUGUGGGAUGGUCCAGAGCUCUCACAGGACAGCUCUUCAUGCUGAGUUGUCCUGCUCCAUCGUUUCUUCUGUGUCUGGGAGCUGAGCAGUCCUGGGUAAAGAUGUGGAAAGCUCUGACAGGGAACACAGAGUAGGAGUGGAAAUACUGGAGGCAAACCUUCGGUUUUCAGCGCCUACUGAACAUGUGCCUCAUCAUUCUCUUCCCCAAGUUAGCGCAGAUCAGACUCUUCAAGGCACAGCACCUUGCAGUGAGCUUUGGUGGCUGCAAUCUCCUCCUAAUCCAGGCUUGUUUCAGGGAAAACAGGCAAUUUUAUAUCCCUUUGAUAUGGGUCUUAGCUGCUAAUGAUGCUAGGAAGUAAAAAGAAAUGGGCAUAGAAAUACACAACUGUGAAGAAUUAAAAUAGUGAAUUUAAUUCAGCCAAUUCCAACAAAAUUGGUAAUUCCCUGGAAAACAAACCUUGCACAGAAAACACACAACAGAAAUGGUUUCAUCUUGACAGCUGGUGAAAACAACUGGGUGAAAAGGUGAAAGGAAUAUUUCUGACUUCUCUGGAAAACACAAGGUUUCACACAUCCUGAAAAUGCCCUAUUUUUUACUAAAUGGGUCGGUUUGUGAGGCAGUGAUUGUAAAUUCUCUGCAAGGAAAACACAGGUUUGUGCUCUGAACUGCAGAUGCCAAAUGUCUGGUUUUCAGAAAGCACUGAUGAUUCCCUAAAGAAAAAGCUGGGACUUUAAAAUCAUAGAAACAUGGAAUGGUUUGGGCUGGAAGGGAAACUCAAAGCUCAUCUCGCUCUAAGCCCCCACCAGAGCAGGGACACAUUCCACUAGACUAGCCCAGAAAUCUGAAGAACAGCAAGAAAAGAUGUAUUAUUUGUCAGAAUCAUUUGCCUGGCUUGCCCAGUGGCCCCGGUCUGGGCUCCAGGGCGAUGCAGAGCCCGAUGGAAGGACGCGAGGCUGCGGCUGUCGCCAGGCGUGUGGAGGGAGCUGGCUGGACAGCCUGGCUCAGCUCCUCAGCACUGAAACACUCUUUCCAAAGCAAUACCAAAAAAGGUUUGUUUCUAGGUCAGGACCUCAGCACUCAAUUUUAACCAGGGGCUGACAGUCCAAUCUGAACACAGCUGUAAAAUGGAUUCGCGGGAGAAGCUCUGGCAUUCCUUUUGUAAUUAGAAAACAGCCACUGAGGCGUGUGCCUUUAAAGGUGAAAGCUAUUUUUGACAUAAAAAUUAGCACGUAGUUCCUCUGUCAUCCCUCGGCUGCUGCGCUGGGAGCUGUGAGUGAACAAUCCAGAGAUAAGCAAGAAGUAUAAACAUGCUGAAUUAUACAAAUACGUAGAAGGGGAUCAGGUUUAAUUUGUUUUAUUCUCUGGCAGUUAGGAGACAAGGAGAUUUAUUCGUACACUUUUUCUCCUAAAAAGCACUGGUUAAAAGGUCCACUUAAGCACUGAAACCCCAAUGGCAUUAAAAAACUUGAAGAGCUUUUAAUAGCUACCUUUAGAAAUUACUGUUAAAUCUAUUUUUGAGAUGGAUAAACUAAGCUACCAAUGAAGCAGGGCAGGAGUUUUUGGAAGGGCCCAGCAGUGAGAAACUGUCAUUCAUUUCUCAACAACUCAGCUCCUGUACAGGGACCCUGAGAUAAAAACUACCACAGUGCUCGAUGCUUUAACAACCUGAGCGUUCUUUAAAUUCCAAUUUGCUCUCUUCGGUGGGAAUCUAACCCCGACAGCUUUGAAAAUGAACCCCAGGCAGUUUUCAGGAUAGGGCUCAGCGCGGCUGUUUCUAAAAUAAAAGUGAGGGAAGAGCGAGCAGAACUUGGAGGCUUAUCAGCACCCGAAUGCCCCGGCUAAUCCUCAGCAGCCCCGGCCCCUUUAUGUAACCUGGGAUUGCUGCAGCUCAACAGCUUACUGGGGUCUGGGUGGUUUUCUUUAAACCUCUUGUGGACAAAUGCAAACACAUGAAAUACUUCUUUCUUCUGCCUCUCUAAGGAAAAAAAUUGUUGCAAGAGGGAAAAAAGUGUUUUAUUUGUAUCAAUGGCUAAUAGAAUUAAACUUGUAUGCUGAGACUAAAACAUGUUUCUCUCUGAUCCAUCAUGACUGAACAGAACUUUCCCAAUUUACAAUACUCAGGUGUAACGCUUGAAAAAAAGGUUGAAUCCCAAAUUUCUCUUCACCCUGAACACUCUGUGGAGGUGUUGGGGUGUUCCAAAUAAAGAGAAAGCCAGCCCCUUUAUAGCCUGUACCCCAUUUCUGGCAGCGUGGCUGGCUGUGCUGCAAUACUUACGUCCCUGUGGCCACCUCCCCGCGCUCUCCUUGCCCGGAGGAUGCCUUUCCGUGCCCUCCAUCUGACUGCUCUGACUUUCCACAGCACACAUCCUUCCAAGGCAAAAUUCAGCUCUCAAGCUGUCGGCCGGUCUGAGCCAUUCACCUCACGCUGAAUGCUUACGGAAACUUCAGAAGGAAAAAAAUAAACCCCCUAUUGAACUCCUUGCAAUCGGAGACCUGAAUGGGCUCGAUAUAAACCCCACUCGAACCAGCGGCAGCAAUAGGCUUCCCUGGAUGUUGGAUUCCAUCCAGCUUAAAAGUUUCCAUGAAAUAAACUAGGCUAAGCGCAUCAGCUGCAUAGGAACUAACUCGGUGUAACAGGAGCAUCUGUUCUUCGCGUCCACCAUUUUCUCAGAGCCUGAACUCGGCGGCGCUGCGGCGCGAGGUGCCAGCGGAUCCCCGGCCGGGCACGGACACGGAUUAGCAGGGAGCAUGCACGUCGUACAAACUACUGCACCAGGUAGCUUUUGUUUGUCAGAAAAACAGCUUAAUGUAUUUGCAAGGAUGGCAUUACAGAGCGAAGUCAAUGUCCGCACUGAGACAGCAGAGGAGCACACCUCGGACCCAUUAAUACACGGUACAAAGCAAAUGUUUACCCAAGUACAAAUGAAACAGGUCGACAAUUAGCUAAUGCAGCUUUGUGGACAUAAACCAGGUACAGUCGAGCAGAACCAACAUAAAAUAAAAAGGAAACAGCCCUUUUGCUACGCCACGCUAAGAGCACCGUGGUUAGUGGUUUGGGAAGCCUCUGUCACGGUGAAAAAUUUCCUUGCCGGUGUUUAAUGUGUUUAUUCUACUGCUACACUGCUGGGAUAAAAAUAACAGCUGGCUGUACAAGGGACCCACUGUCAAUACUGCAGUAAUUGACAACAUACAGUUAAGUCUCACACCUGUUUAUUGUAAGUAAUUCAUAGAUAACCACUUCUAGUACACAUUUUCAUAUUGGCUUUUAAUGCUUUUGUUCUCUUUUUUUUCUUUUUUAAGCUCAGGGAUACCCAAAUUUCACCUACGGGUCAUCACUGUGGUUACCCAGACCCAGAAGGCUGUACCUACUUUGGGAGACUGGUGCGAGGUGGUGUCGUGGCCAGGGAUGGCAGAGAUGGCUGGGGAACUACGGGUCCCAACAUGCAGGACGGUGUGGAGGUGGCAGCGGGGCCGGGGCAGCAGGGCUGGGGACAUGCUGGCGGGCUGGCCGUGCACGCCGGGCUCUACACAGGGCCAAAACAAAGACCUCUACACACCUGGAGUAAGAACAGUGGUAACAAAGUCAUAGCUACAUAUUCUUCUCUACAUUUUUGUUUAUUGAGACAAACUAAUUAAAAGGCACAAACAUAGGGCAUAUGUUUACAUGGACAUUAUAACAAACAUAUACAUUAAAAGUGUAGGAAUGUGUUUCCUUUCUGCUAAACAGAAAGUUCCUAAGCUUUUAUAUAUACAAAAGUUGUACAAUUUGAUGUCCUAAAGUACAAAAGAUCAUUUAUAAAAUUAUUUUACACUAAGCUCUAUUAUUUUUUUUUGUUUGUUUUUGUUUUACUAUGUAGUCCAAGCCCCUAGAACAGUUUCACGUAAGGAUACAGAUACCUGUCACCUGAGCCAGCAGCCUGGCAAUCACUGCUCGCACGGACACGGCCGGGGAGGAACGGAAGCAGUCCAGUGUGACUGGGCAGUCCUGCUAGCACUCUGUGAAAAUGCACACGCUAAUCUCCAGAGCUCUCAACUUCAUUAAGAUAAAAACA